rnacentral:snRNA from 2 species
UUUCCUUCUACAAUCACGGAUCUGUGCCCAGCGAUCCUCUUCUCUUCGGAGUUAGGGUCGAUUGCUGUGCAGCUCGAUAAUUCUAGGGAGCCAUCAACUUGCUAUGGUGUCAAUCAUCCUAUCGACAGGUCCAAGAGUAAACGGGUGCUUCUGGCUGCUUCAUUCGCUGUCGCAAGACGGCUUGAGUGAUUUGGCUGCUGCAUCCGAGACGCUAUAUUCCACCCCCCUUUUCCGAGGCCGUCGGUCGGUGAGGUUGGGGAAAACCAUGGUCUGCCUACAUAU